UAGGUACUAGUAAAAUAAUUACAUAACUUUGUCGAAGUUAAAUUACAGGUUUAACUCCUGUGUAUCUUU
rnacentral:tRNA from 1 species